rnacentral:rRNA from 1 species
GACGAACGCUGGCGGCGUGCUUAACACAUGCAAGUCGAACGAGUGGCGAACGGGUGAGUAAUACGUGGGUAACCUGCCCUCUUUUUGGGAUACUCCUUGGAAACGGGGUCUACUCCCCAAUACAGUGGGAUGGGCUCGCGGCCUAUCAGCUUGUUGGUGGGGUGAUGGCUUACCAAGGCGGUGACGGGUAGCCGGCCUGAGAGGGUGACCGGCAACAGGGGGAGGGAGAGACGGACCAGAGUCGUACGGGAGGGAGAAGUGGUGGAUAGUGCACAAGGGGCGAAAGCCUGAGGCAGCGAUGCCGAGUGGGGGAUGAAGGCUUUCGGGUUGUAAACCGCUGUGGCUAGCGAACGGGUAGGUGGAGAAGAAGCGCCGGCUAACUACGUGCCAGCAGCCGCGGUAAUAC